rnacentral:rRNA from 1 species
GACGAACCGUGCGAACGUUGUUCGGAAUCACUGGGCUUAAAGGGCGCGUAGGCGGCUUGCCAAGUCCGGGGUGAAAUCCUCCAGCUUAACUGGAGAAGUGCCCUGGAUACUGGCGAGCUCGAGCGAGGCAGGGGUUGUGGGAACUUCCGGUGGAGCGGUGAAAUGCGUUGAUAAUCGGAAGGAACGCCGGUGGCGAAAGCGGCGACAACUGGUCCUCUUCUGACGCUGAGGCGCGAAAGCCAGGGGAGCAA